UGCAAAUCAAUAUAAAUUGAUAAUUAAUAUUUAUUUAUUAUUAUUAUUUAUGUAUUUAUUUAUUUAUAAUUUAUUAAAAAUAAUUAUAUAAUUUAGUGUUUUAGUAAUUUUUAAUGAAAAAAUAAUGUUAAUAAUAGUUUAUUAAGUAUUGUAAAAGGUUAUUGAAAUAAUUGAAAAAUUUUUAUUUUAAAAGAAAAUUUAAUUUAUUGUACCUUGUGUGUCAGGGUUUAUUAAAUAAUUAAUAAAUAUUUAUUAAUCUCGAUUUUAUAAGAGUUAAUAAUUUAUAAAAGUUAAUGUAUCAAAAUUAUUUUAAAUAAAUUAUUAGAAAUGAAAUGUUAUUCGUUUAUAAAGGUAUCUAGUUUUUUUAGAAAUAAAUUUAAUUUACAAGAUUUUAAUUUUUAUUUUUUUUUUAUAAAAUAAAAAUUUAUUAUUUUGAAUAUUUUAAGGGAUAAGCUUUAAAAUAAAUUAUUAAAAAUUAAUAAUUGUUAUUAAAAAUGUAUGUAUAGAAUUAGCAAUCAUUUAUAAGUUUGUUAUAAAUUAUUUUAUUAUUUUAUUAUUUAUUUAUAUUUUAAUUAUUUUUAUAAAAAUUUUUAUUUAAAUAAAAAUUGUUAAUUAAUAAUGAUAAAAUUAGUAUAUUUUAUUGUAAAGAUAAUUUAAAUUGGUAAGUUUAUAUAAAGAAUUCGGCAAAUUUUAUUCUCGCCUGUUUAACAAAAACAUGUCUUUUUGUAUUAUAUAAAAAGUCUAACCUGCCCACUGAAUUUAUUUAAAUGGCCGCAGUAUUUUAACUGUGCAAAGGUAGCAUAAUCAUUAGUCUUUUAAUUGAAGGCUGGUAUGAAUGGUUGGACGAAGUAUAAUCUGUUUCAUUUAAAUUUAUUAUUGAAUUUUAUAUUUUAGUUAAAAAGCUAAAAUUUUUUUAAAAGACGAGAAGACCCUAUAAAUCUUUAUAUUUUUUAGUAAUUAAAUUUUAUUGGUUUAUUUUAUUUUUAUACUAUAUAAUAUUUUGUUGGGGUGAUAUUAAAAUUUAAUAAACUUUUAAUUUUAUAAAAUCAUUUAUUUAUGAUUUAUUGAUCCGUUAAUAACGAUUAUAAGAUUAAGUUACUUUAGGGAUAACAGCGUAAUUUUUUUGGAGAGUUCUUAUUGAUAAAAAAGUUUGCGACCUCGAUGUUGGAUUAAGAUAUAUUUUAGGUGUAGUUGCUUAAAAAUAAAGUCUGUUCGACUUUUAAA
rnacentral:rRNA from 1 species